rnacentral:rRNA from 1 species
CGAACGCUGGCGGCGUGCUUAACACAUGCAAGUCGAACGGAAAGGCCCUGCUUGCAGGGUACUCGAGUGGCGAACGGGUGAGUAACACGUGGGUGAUCUGCCCUGCACUUCGGGAUAAGCUUGGGAAACUGGGUCUAAUACCGGAUAGGAACCAUCUUUAGUGUGGUGGUUGGAAAGUUUUUUCGGUGUAGGAUGAGCUCGCGGCCUAUCAGCUUGUUGGUGGGGUAAUGGCCUACCAAGGCGGCGACGGGUAGCCGGCCUGAGAGGGUGUACGGCCACAUUGGGACUGAGAUACGGCCCAGACUCCUACGGGAGGCAGCAGUGGGGAAUAUUGCACAAUGGGCGCAAGCCUGAUGCAGCGACGCCGCGUGGGGGAUGAAGGCCUUCGGGUUGUAAACUCCUUUCGCUAGGGACGAAGCGUUGUUGUGACGGUACCUAGAUAAGAAGCACCGGCUAACUACGUG